rnacentral:rRNA from 1 species
UACGGGGGAGCAAGCGGUGUUCGGAUUUACUGGGCGUAAAGGGCGCGUAGGCGGCGCAACAAGUCACUUGUGAAAUCUCCGGGCUUAACCCGGAGCGGCCAAGUGAUACUGUCGUGCUAGAGUGCGGAAGGGGCUACUGGAAUUCUCGGUGUAGCGGUGAAAUGCGUAGAUAUCGAGAGGAACACCUGCGGCGAAGGCGGGUAGCUGGGCCGACACUGACGCUGAGGCGCGAAAGCCAGGGGAGCGAACGGG